rnacentral:rRNA from 1 species
GACGAACGCUGGCGGCGUGCUUAACACAUGCAAGUCGAACGGAAAGGCCCUGCUUUUGUGGGGUGCUCGAGUGGCGAACGGGUGAGUAACACGUGAGUAACCUGCCCUUGACUUUGGGAUAACUUCAGGAAACUGGGGCUAAUACCGGAUAGGAGCUCCUGCUGCAUGGUGGGGGUUGGAAAGGUUCGGCGGUUGGGGCUGGACUCGCGGCUUAUCAGCCUGUUGGUGGGGUAGUGGCUUACCAAGGCUUUGACGGGUAGCCGGCCUGAGAGGGUGACCGGCCCCAUUGGGACUGAGAUACGGCCCAGACUCCUACGGGAGGCAGCAGUGGGGAAUAUUGCACAAUGGGCGGAAGCCGGAUGCAGCAACGCCGCGUGCGGGAUGACGGCCUUCGGGUUGUAAACCGCUUUCGCCUGUGACGAAGCGUGAUUGACGGUAAUGGGUAAAGAAGCACCGGCUAACUACGUG